rnacentral:rRNA from 1 species
AUUGAACGCUGGCGGCAGGCCUAACACAUGCAAGUCGAACGAGUGGCGGACGGGUGAGUAAUGUCUGGGAAACUGCCGGAUGGAGGGGGAUAACUACUGGAAACGGUAGCUAAUACCGCAUACCAUCGGAUGUGCCCAUAUGGGAUUAGCUAGUAGGUGGGGUAAAGGCUCACCUAGGCGACGAGCCCUAGCUGGUCUGAGAGGAUGACCAGCCACACUGGACCUGAUACCCGGUCCCGACUCUUGCGGGAGGCAGCACUGGGGAAUAUUGCACAAUGGGCGAAACCCUGCUGCAGCCAGGCCGGGUGUAUGAAGAAGGCCUUCAAGUUGUUACGUACUUUCAGCGGGGAGGCGUUGCCCGCAGAAGAAGCACCGGCAAACUCCGUACCAGCAGCCGCGGUAAUAC